AACUGUUGCUGAUGGUGCUCCAGUUGUACCAAUCUCUGCGCAAUUGAAGUACAACAUCGAUGUUGUUGCUGAAUAUAUUGUGAAGAAAAUUCCCAUUCCUGAGAGGAAUUUCAUUUCACCACCAAAUAUGAUAGUCAUCCGAUCAUUUGAUGUUAAUAAACCUGGUUUUGAAGUUGAUGAUAUCAGAGGGGGUGUUGCUGGUGGCAGUAUUUUGAAGGGUGUACUGAAGGUUAAUCAACUUAUUGAGAUUCGUCCUGGAAUUGUUGUGAAAGAUGAGAGUGGCAACAUCAAAUGUACUCCAAUAUAUUCAAGAAUAGUAUCAUUGUUUGCCGAGCAAAAUGAACUUCAAUUUGCCGUGCCUGGAGGCCUCAUUGGAGUUGGAACAACUAUGGAUCCAACAUUGACUCGUGCUGAUCGUUUGGUCGGACAGGUUCUUGGGGAGGUUGGCUCACUUCCUGAAGUGUUUGUUGAACUGGAGGUAAAUUUCUUCUUGCUCCGCCGUCUUCUGGGAGUGAGGACAAAGGACACGGAAAGGCAGGGUAAAGUCUCAAAGUUGGCCAAGGGAGAGAUUCUCAUGUUAAACAUAGGAUCUAUGUCAACUGGGGCUCGUGUUGUCGCUGUUAAGAAUGUCUUCGCAAAACUGCAAUUGACAUCACCUGUGUGUACCAGCAAAGGUGAGAAAAUUGCUCUUAGCAGGAGAAUCGAGAAGCACUGGCGUCUCAUAGGUUGGGGCCAAAUCCAAGCUGGUAUCACCCUUGAUGUUCCCCCUUGCCCAAUCUGAGUGAACUACACACAAACACGAUUUUGACAUUUAGAUGUGGAGAGGCAUACAUUUGUUAGGAACUACAAAAGAUUAUCUUAAAUUUCGAAUACUUUGUAAUUUGCAAUGUUUCCUUUUUCUUAUUUACG
rnacentral:misc_RNA from 1 species